GAUGUCAAAAACAAUAAUUCCGGCGAAUUCAUUUAAUGAAAAUAUUUUGUAAACUUUUCAUAUUUUAUAAAAAAUACACAUAAAAAUAUUAAAAUUUGUGAAGAUAGUGGAAGAACGUCUGUUCCAAAUGAAAAAUUCUAAUCCGUCAGAUUAAUUUUGCAAAACUUAAGUUUGUGUCCAAAAUUAUGUAAAAUUAAUAUUUUUGGGAAAAUAAGCAUAAAAAUGUAAAAAUUUAUGGAAAAAUUAUGUACCGAAUGAAAGAAUCUUUAUUGUUAGUGGAAAAUUCUACUCUGACGGAGUAACUUUUAAGAUGAGAUAUUUUACAUAAAUUAUUCAACAACUAAAGAAGCUUUUCUCUGAUUUAACGGAAAUUUUUAAAUUAAAAAUGUAAACAAUAACAAUACGUUUAUCUUGGAAACUAUUACAGAUAGAAUCUUCAAAUUUUGCACGAAAGAAGUUGCAAUUAUACUUUAAAUUGAAUUUGGAGGACAUAAUGUACUAAGUAAGAAAUGCGAAAUACAGCCUACUUCGUUUUUUUAUAUAAGUACCGCGAGUUUUUUACAUAAAAAGUUCCAAUAGAAAUAUUAAGUUCCAAUAGUAAUAUUAACGGAAGGACGGACGAGUUUGAAUCGACCCAAAAAGCGAUUUUAAGUUCAUGGAUGCACCAAAAGGAGAGAGAGGAUCCAUUAUUCACGAUGUUAGAUUGGCUAGUGUAAAUAAAAUAAUAUUACGGUGUUGUUAUGAUCUAAAUCAACUCAUUUAAUAUGUGGAAAAUGACCAACAAGAAGAAAACAAACAGGGGGAUUUUUUGCAAACUUUUUUCAGAGUUGCAUAAAAAGGUACUUUUUUGUGUAUACACUUGGAAAAGUACAUAAAAAAUUUAAAUAAAGCAAAAAAUACGUAAAAAACGUAAACAAAGAGAACACAACCAAUAACAAACUAAUUGAUUUAUUUCUAAAAUGUUGAAUUAUUGAUAUAAAAUGAAAUAUAUUGACUGUGCACCAAAAUAAACUAUACCGAUCGAUAGGGAAUCGGAAAAUGAA